GUCCUGGAUCAGAUCUGCGCUGGAUCAGAUCAGGAUGGAGGAGUUUUCUGUUGGGUAUAAAAGGAUGGGGCUGGAGGGCGGAUGGAGGAAUUCAGUGAAAGAUCGUCUGAAGGGAAAUCAGAAGCUCCUCCUUCUGGUUUCCACAGCUUUGAUCAUCUUCAUUCUGUUUGUUAUGCUCUUUGUGAUUUUUGGGUAUCAGGAGAGGAGGUUUGCUGGGAUGGAGAGCUUCAUGAUCAGUCAUGAUUCCUCUCUGAACUCUGUGAACUCUGAGCUGAAGUCAAAACUGCAGGAUACAGGUUCUGAUCUGGAGAAGAUGAUGAGUGAACUGAAGAAGACUGUUUCUGGUUUGAGUUCAUAUGUAGAUCUGUAUAACUCCAGAAUACAGACCCAGUUCAGCAGCGGAGCUCAGGUGAAGAAGUUAACGGAUCUUCAGACUUUAAUAAAUAACCUCGACUCCUCCUUCGCAUCCAUCUCUUCCAAACUCGAGAACCAGCAGAAGGAAACAGGUGAGAACCAAACCCCGCCCACUGGAGUAUGUAUAUGUGUGUAUGUAUAUAUAUAUAUAUCUUAGCUU
rnacentral:lncRNA from 1 species